GACGAACGCUGGCGGCGUGCCUAAUACAUGCAAGUAGAACGCUGAAGGGAGAGCUUGCUCUUCUGGAUGAGUUGCGAACGGGUGAGUAACGCGUAGGUAACCUGCCUGGUAGCGGGGGAUAACUAUUGGAAACGAUAGCUAAUACCGCAUAACAUUGACUAUUGCAUGAUAGUCAAUUGAAAGGUGCAAAUGCACCACUACCAGAUGGACCUGCGUUGUAUUAGCUAGUUGGUGGGGUAACGGCUCACCAAGGCGACGAUACAUAGCCGACCUGAGAGGGUGAUCGGCCACACUGGGACUGAGACACGGCCCAGACUCCUACGGGAGGCAGCAGUAGGGAAUCUUCGGCAAUGGACGGAAGUCUGACCGAGCAACGCCGCGUGAGUGAAGAAGGUUUUCGGAUCGUAAAGCUCUGUUGUAAGAGAAAGAAACGAGUGUGAG
rnacentral:rRNA from 1 species